UGUGUAGGCGGUUCUUUAAGUUUGCUGUGAAAUCUCCCGGCUUAACCGGGAGGGUGCGGUGAAUACUGAGGGACUAGAGUACGGGAGAGGAAAGUGGAAUUCCUGGUGUAGCGGUGAAAUGCGUAGAUAUCAGGAGGAACACCGGUGGUGUAGACGGCUUUCUGGCCGACACUGACGCUGAGACACGAAAGCGUGGGUAGGCAAACA
rnacentral:rRNA from 1 species